rnacentral:rRNA from 1 species
GACGAACGCUGGCGGCGUGCCUAAUACAUGCAAGUCGAACGAACUCUGGUAUUGAUUGGUGCUUGCAUCAUGAUUUACAUUUGAGUGAGUGGCGAACUGGUGAGUAACACGUGGGAAACCUGCCCAGAAGCGGGGGAUAACACCUGGAAACAGAUGCUAAUACCGCAUAACAACUUGGACCGCAUGGUCCGAGCUUGAAAGAUGGCUUCGGCUAUCACUUUUGGAUGGUCCCGCGGCGUAUUAGCUAGAUGGUGGGGUAACGGCUCACCAUGGCAAUGAUACGUAGCCGACCUGAGAGGGUAAUCGGCCACAUUGGGACUGAGACACGGCCCAAACUCCUACGGGAGGCAGCAGUAGGGAAUCUUCCACAAUGGACGAAAGUCUGAUGGAGCAACGCCGCGUGAGUGAAGAAGGGUUUCGGCUCGUAAAACUCUGUUGUUAAAGAAGAACAUAUCUGAGAGUAACUGUUCAGGUAUUGACGGUAUUUAACCAGAAAGCCACGGCUAACUACGUGCCAGCAGCCGCGGUAAUACGUAGGUGGCAAGCGUUGUCCGGAUUUAAUGGGCGUAAAGCGAGCGCAGGCGGUUUUUUAAGUCUGAUGUGAAAGCCUUCGGCUCAACCGAAGAAGUGCAUCGGAAACUGGGAAACUUGAGUGCAGAAGAGGACAGUGGAACUCCAUGUGUAGCGGUGAAAUGCGUAGAUAUAUGGAAGAACACCAGUGGCGAAAGCGGCUGUCUGGUCUGUAACUGACGCUGAGGCUCGAAAGUAUGGGUAGCAAACAGGAUUAGAUACCCUGUAGUCCAUACCGUAAACGAUGAAUGCUAAGUGUUGGAGGGUUUCCGCCCUUCAGUGCUGCAGCUAACGCAUUAAGCAUUCCGCCUGGGGGGUACGGCCGCAAGGCUGAAACUCAAAGGAAUUGACGGGGGCCCGCACAAGCGGUGGAGCAUGUGGUUUAAUUCGAAGCUACGCGAAGAACCUUACCAGGUCUUGACAUACUAUGCAAAUCUAAGAGAUUAGACGUUCCCUUCGGGGACAUGGAUACAGGUGGUGCAUGGUUGUCGUCAGCUCGUGUCGUGAGAUGCUGGGUUAAGUCCCGCAACGAGCGCAACCCUUAUUAUCAGUUGCCAGCAUUAAGUUGGGCACUCUGGUGAGACUGCCGGUGACAAACCGGAGGAAGGUGGGGAUGACGUCAAAUCAUCAUGCCCCUUAUGACCUGGGCUACACACGUGCUACAAUGGAUGGUACAACGAGUUGCGAACUCGCGAGAGUAAGCUAAUCUCUUAAAGCCAUUCUCAGUUCGGAUUGUAGGCUGCAACUCGCCUACAUGAAGUCGGAAUCGCUAGUAAUCGCGGAUCAGCAUGCCGCGGUGAAUACGUUCCCGGGCCUUGUACACACCGCCCGUCACACCAUGAGAGUUUGUAACACCCAAAGUCGGUGGGGUAACCUUUUAGGAACCAGCCGCCUAAGGUGGGACAGAUGAUUAGGGUG